CGGGGUGUAGCUCAGCCUGGUAGAGCGUUCGUUUCGGGUGCGAAAGGCCGUUGGUUCGAAUCCAAUCACCCCGA
rnacentral:tRNA from 1 species